ACGAACGCUGGCGGCGUGCUUAACACAUGCAAGUCGAACGGAAAGGCCCUGCUUUUGUGGGGUGCUCGAGUGGCGAACGGGUGAGUAACACGUGAGUAACCUGCCCUUGACUUUGGGAUAACUUCAGGAAACUGGGGCUAAUACCGGAUAGGAGCUCCUGCUGCAUGGUGGGGGUUGGAAAGUUUCGGCGGUUGGGGAUGGACUCGCGGCUUAUCAGCUUGUUGGUGGGGUAGUGGCUUACCAAGGCUUUGACGGGUAGCCGGCCUGAGAGGGUGACCGGCCACAUUGGGACUGAGCUACGGCCCAGACUCCUACGGGAGGCAGCAGUGGGGAACAUUGCACAAUGGGCGGAAGCCUGAUGCAGCAACGCCGCGUGCGGGAUGACGGCCUUCGGGUUGUAAACCGCUUUCGCCUGUGACGAAGCGUGAGUGACGGUAAUGGGUAAAGAAGCACCGGCUAACUACGUG
rnacentral:rRNA from 1 species